AAGUCGUAACAAGGUUUCCGUAGGUGAACCUGCGGAAGGAUCAUUACCGAGAUAGGGUCCCUCACGGGGCCCGACCUCCCACCCGUGUCUAAAUUACCUUUGUUGCCUCGGCGGGCCGCCGGGAGGCUCUUCAAACAGCCCCCCGCCGUCGGCUCUCGCAGCCCUCGAGCGCCCGCCGGUGGACCCCAUUAAACCACUUCUGAACCAGACCUCUGAGUGAAUUUUAAUACUUCAAAACUUUCAACAACGGAUCUCUUGGUUCUG
rnacentral:misc_RNA from 1 species